UUUACCAACUAUCUCCAUGUAAAAAAAAUUUUAUAAAAAAAGUUUGUAGCAUUCAAGAUUCUGUACAUAUCAAUGUUGUUAUGCAUUGUAGGCUUUUUGUGGUUUGUUUAAGUUUUUGAUUUCUAUUGGAAACAAUGAUAUGAGUAUAUGACAUUGUUGCAUUUUUUGGUUUUGCUGAUUUUCAGAUUGUUUGUUAAUCUGUUUGCUGUUUAGAAGAGAAGGCUUUUGAGGCGUAGAAAGAAGAACAAUCCGGUCGUCUUGAAAUUCGUUUGUAAUAUAGGCCUGUUGAUUUCCCCGUUUGAUACCCGUUAUUCUGAACAGCAUGUCUUCACGGCAAUAAAUCUGAUCCCAAUGGAAUGAUUAGUGGUUGGCUGGUGCAUGGGAUCCUGUAGUUGGUCCACGUUUAUCUGGAAUGUUGAUACUACUACGCGUGUAAAGGAGGUGCAGAUUUUAGGGUAGAGAAACUGAAGACAGCAACAACAAAGAAAGAGAGAGACAUAGUGCGAGAGAGCGUAAAGACAGAAAGUGAGACAAUGGUGGUUGUUCUGACUCCGCCUGCCACCGGUGACCAUUUCGUCAAGGAAACCAUACGUCUUCCGUCCUCCACGAGAACAGGCGACGACUGUUAGGCAGUAGGUUCCAGUUUGAGCCUUGGUUUGUUUCCAUUUGUUCAUCAGACUUCAACUUAUGGGGAGAUCUGACACAUACCCAAGGGGGAGGUCUGUGGCCAAAUGUAAGUGUCCAUUUUGAGACCAUCAUUGUAGAGAGAGAAAGGGUGAACAGAGCCACCAUCGUCCUCCUCUGCACCAUGCCAACCAUUAUCUAACGCUGGAUAUAAAUACUAAAACUUUGGUUCAGUUGGCCUCACGCAACCAUUACUUUGCUACUAUUUUUGCUUAGAGUUGGCUUGGCAGUAGGCUUUAUUAAGAUGGAGCUUUGUGCCGACAUCAUAGUGAUGGGAAGAGACCAUCAACAAGGGUCUUGAAAUGCGGGUAUGCUAUUCGUGGUCAAAGUGUAUCACUGGCUCAGCCGCUCAGUUUAUACAUUGGAUUAAGGAGCAGUCGAUGAUCAUCAUCAAUCACCCACAUUGAAUUCAACCCUCACUGGCUAUUCUUUUGUUUACUAUAAUACCAAGUGAACUCUGUGUAAUUUUCAAAUGAUGAGAUCCCUGUACCGGCCAGCCCUAUCAAGAUUUGAAACCGAAGAUGAGCUUGAAAAUCAUCAGAUAAUCAUGUCAAUUGUAAGACAAUAAAAGGAUGAGUUUCGAUCGUUGGGAAAUAUUUUUAGCAUGUAUUUAUAUGAUACUUAUCAUACAGAAAGCAAGUCUAAUUAUUUAAUAGCACACCUUCUUUAUGGCUA